GAGGGUAUAGCUCAGUGGUAGAGCGCAUGCUUAGCACGCACAAUGUCCUGGUUCAAUCCCCAGUACUUCUA
rnacentral:tRNA from 1 species